AAGAAAAAACUCCAGAGGAAAAACGGCUCAGAGAUCCGACAGCCCCUCGGUAAUUUGUCGGGGUCAUUCUCCGGGAGCGUCCUCCUCGCCGUCGUCCUGCCCCUCCCCACGCCACACACAGGAAAUGAUUCAUCUGCAUCCUGGAGAGAAAAAAAGCUGAGCGCCGUUUCAAAAUUACCUACUAGAGGAUCAUUUGAAGAGACUCCUGUGGUAAACCCCAAAGGCGAGGUGACUCGGUACCUGAAGGAAGAUAGCGGGAUGAGAGAAGAAAGACUCCCCUGUUUGUUCAGCGCACAUAUUGGGAUGCCGUCCACCUCUUCAGGCAAGUCAAUCACUUACCUUACGGGCCUUAUUUUGUCAGCGUGUUAAUCUGGAUGAAUAUUUAGAGUCACACAGGACGGCGUAGCAGACGUCUCCCACCUGUGUUGUGAUGGAUUUGCUCCCAGUUGCGGCGUGAAGGAGGGGAACUCUUGAACGAGUUUUUGACUGGGGAAAAACAAGACAAAGAACACGAUAUGAUCCGACAUAUUGGUUUAUGGUGAAUAAAACAUUGGUUCUUUAUAACCUGUAGAAUAGUUUAAUAGCAUUUUAUCUAUUUGAUAAAAUGCUCUUAGGGAGGUAUUUUUCAAAUUAGAAGAAUUUGAAAAAUACUUCCCUAAAAAUCUUCAUGGUGCACACUUUAGUAGAAACCUCGUAGGGCUGCGGUAAUUCAGUCGAAUUGAAUAUUCCUCUUAAGUUUUUAUUUUGACUGUGGUCAUUACACGUUUUUAUCUCUCUCUCUAUAUAUAUAUAUAUUUAAGACUAGAAUCAUUUGAGCAUCUGUCCCAAAAUUACACUGUUUACAACAAAACAUUUCACUUUCUUAGUCGCCUGCAUCUCAGAUACUUUUUCAAAGUGUCCAACUCCAGUCCUGGAGGGCCAGUGUUCUUCAACUUUUAUGUGGGCCCCUCUGUCAACAGUUAAUGACCUGCUGAUGACAUAAUUCAGGUUUCAACGUACCUGAAUUAUGUCAUCAGAUGGAUUCUGUAGAAUUUGGGUGCAUGAGGAGGUAAUUCAGGGAUUUGAUUCAGGUGUGCUGGAUGUCAAACACAAAAGUUUCAAGACAUGCGCUGCCUUGAGGAUUGACACAUCAUCAUCAUCAACCUAUGUGACUAUGUCCGUCAAAAUGUCCUGUGAUUUACAGAUUAUCUUCAUCCCAACCCUCAAUCUGUGGGCGCAAAGACAAUGAAACAAAAGUCUGGUCUAAAAGGGGCUUUCAGCACCUUUCACUGUUAUUGUAUCACCAAAAAACCUCACGUCCCAUUGAUUACUGUACAUCUGGCAGCUGCAGCUUCUUAAAAUACACUUAGGUUAGCUUUCCUUGCAUUCUACCAUUUUUGUAUGUCUCUCGUCCCUGGAGAAUAGCGCACCGAAGCACAAUGCUGAAUGUACUGAGAAAACUGUGACAGAGCAAAGCCUGAGCCGUGACAAGCGGGGGGGCGGGGGAGUAUAACAAUGAGAUGUAUUCUCAACAUGACAGGCCAGAGAUUAAGUGAAUAUAUAAGAGCAAAAUGAAUCGAUAUUUCCCAUAUUUGCCAAAGAACCUUCCAGGGGGCCGUUAUGCAGCACUAAUUGUACCUAUAGGGGACAUUUUCUAAUGCAAUCAGCACUCUCAUUGGAAUUCACCGAAACUCUUCUGGUGGACAACCGGGAUCACCCAUGCUGCUCCUUAUUUCACUGAGUUCCCUUUAUUCCCUUUAUGCCGAUGUUUUCAAUAUUUCUUCUCUACUCAUUUGCAGCGAUCUCAGGCCAUGCCAAGGCUCAGUAUGAUUCCCUUAAUAUAUAAUUAGAUUAAAGAGGAAAUAUGAACCCAGGGAUUUCCCUCCAUCCAUGUUCUUACACUUUGUCCCCAGUGAGGGCAGUGAGGGGUGCUGGCAUUCGGGCGAGAGGCCGGGUUUACCCUGGACAGGUGGCAAGUCCAUAGCAGAGAUUUCCAUCCACUUCAUAAAAAUAUAGCAGUGAGUUUUCUCUGCCCCAUGUUACAUGCAGGAUAUGUCUUCACUUCAGAUGAUAGAAUGUGUUCAAUUUAGUCUUGAAGAAUGUUUAUCUGGUAUUUAAGAAGUUUUAACACUUGAUUCUGUUGGGAUGGAUCGACCCCUUCGUUGUAGCGAAGUGUGUAUCCUAAUCCUGUCCUUAACCCGAAAGAAGACUUUUGGGAUGACUUGGACCAGAGACUGCGACUCAGGCCUUCUUGUCCAACGUCACCUUGUAAAUAGACUCAUGUUAGAGUGGUCAAAAAAUGAACACACACAUCACUAAACCUUGUGAAAAGCUGUCUCAGAAGAGUUGAAGGUCUUAGGGUGGGCAGACAAUAUAACCUUAGGGAUUAAGUAAGAGAUGCAACUUUGUAUAAUCUGUCAUUUUAGCAGCAGUAGGAAUAAAUGCUGCUGUUCUAACUAAGCUAGAUCUUGUUAGCAUAUUUGCUUUGACGCAUCUAAUGUGACGCCAUGGUAUUUUUACCUAAAGUUAACAUGCUGUGAAAAUCUAAUACUAUUAGUGAGUUAUAGUUAAAACAGACAACAUGGACAGACCACUAAUGUUGACAGCGCUGUGCAUCAAAUAUCAAGUGACCUCUUUAAUAUGUGUCUGCAUGUGCUGAAAGUAAUAAAACAAAUUUUUUGUUAUUCCUAAACAUCAGUCACAUGUGAACAUGUAUCGAUAAGGAAGAGGUUUUUGUAGCCAAAGUGCUUCCUGACUCUGAAAGGACUUAAUUAAAUGCAGAGCCUUUAUUAAAUAAGAUAUGCUGCACUCUGCAUAAAUGCAUAAAUCAAUAGCAAAACUGCCACAGAAAUAUUAGAAUAAUUGAUCCGGGGUGAUUCAGCAGCAAGGAGGUCCAGGGGCUUGCAGGAUAUUAGCUCGACGUAAUAAUCUCGGUGAAGGUCAGUGGAUACUCCAGUAAUGACAAAUGUCCUCUCUUUGACUCCUGCUGGUCAGACUUUAUUUUGGCUGGUUACAGGAAAUUACUUUCUGCACCUUUCAUCUUGUUCCACUCACUGUGUAAGCUGCAGCUUUAUGGCAAUGACCAAUCAGGGUGUCAUAAAAACAAGCUGUAACUGUCCCGACUCGUCAUAAAAAACAUUCACUCAACUGACGUCAAACUGCUGGUUAUUAAAGUAAGAAUUAGAGGCUCGGUGAAUACCACACAAUACCGGCACGAGUGACCUUGCAAAACUUCUGCCUGUGGCAUGUCUGAGGAAGAUCAGAGAGUUAAAUGUACCACUUUUGUACUGAUAAAAAUUGUAGUUAAGUUUUUCUUCUCAACACAUCUGCAUCAAUUCUGGAGGAACAG